AAAUAAGAAGCUAAAAGCAUUCAGUUUCGACCUGAAAGAUUGAUAAUUAUUAUCCUUAUUUA
rnacentral:tRNA from 1 species